GAGUUUGAUCGUGGCUCAGAACAAACGCUGGCGGCGUGCCUAAUACAUGCAAGUCGAACGAGGAAAGCUUUCGGGUGAGUACUAGUGGCGCACGGGUGAGGAAUAUAUGGGUAAUCUGCCCUCGAGUCGGGGAUAACCAGUCGAAAGAUUGGCUAAUACCGGAUAAGACCACAGGAUCUGCGGAUCUAGGGGUUAAAGGUUUUUCGCUUGAGGAUGAGCCCAUAUGGGAUUAGCUAGUUGGUAGGGUAAUGGCCUACCAAGGCUACGAUCCCUAACUGGUCUUAGAGGAUGAUCAGUCACACUGGAACUGAGACACGGCCCAGACUCCUACGGGAGGCAGCAGUGGGGAAUAUUGGACAAUGGGCGCAAGCCUGAUCCAGCCAUGCCGCGUGAGUGAUGAAGGCCUUAGGGUUGUAAAGCUCUUUUACCAGGGAAGAUAAUGACGGUACCUGGAGAAUAAGCCCCGGCUAACUUCGUGCCAGCCGCCGCAGU
rnacentral:rRNA from 1 species